rnacentral:rRNA from 1 species
UACGUAGGGUGCAGGCGUUAAUCGGAAUUACUGGGCGAAAGCGUGCGCAGGCGGUUUCUUAAGUCAGAUGUGAAAUCCCCGGGCUCAACCUGGGGAAUGGCGAUGGAGACUGCAAGGCUAGAGUUUGGGCAGAGGGGGGGUAGAAUUCCGACGUGUAGCAGUGAAAAUGCGUAGAUAUGUGGGAGGAACACCGAUGGCGAAGGCAGCCCCCCUGGGUCAAAACUGGACGCUCAUGCACGAAAGCGUGGGGGAGCAAACAGG